AGGCUUCAUCAGAGAGAUUAAAUCAGAGCUCUAAUUUGCUUGGACAACUUGACAGCCUAUUUGAGAAGAAUUGAAAGAAAUAGAUUUUUAUGUCCUAAAAUGUCCUAAGCACCCAAACAAGAGAAAAAUGUACCAUGCUUCCGCAGACAUUAAAUCUCUGUUAAGGAUGAAGAGCUGGCCUCCUCUUGGUUGGGUACUGUAUACAUACUCUUAAAUUCAGUGAACUGCAGAGCUGGUGUCACAUCAGAAGAGCAUGAAGGCAAACACAGACUCAAGCAUCCUUGUCUCUGGGCUCUGCCGCAGUUCUGCAAGUCGUAGCUGUUCUGCUGCUUGUGCUCAGCUGCUCCUCACAGAGGUAUGGUCUCAGUCACCCAUUUCCUGACUGACCAGAAAACAGAGAAAUCUCUCAGAAGAAAUAUUUUCUAAUGUAUUUCCAGUAAAGAUGAAGUGCUUUGGCCAGUGCCUGUAGUCUGAUCUAGGCCAAUGACUUUAAUUCUUGGAAAAAGCAGGAAAAGAAGAGAGGCUGAAUCCAUUGAGACAAACUUUAUAGCUGCAUACUUAUUUUUCCUAUUCUCCAUAAUAGCUUUCAAUCACUUUUUUUUUGUGUCAAAACUUUUUGCUUUUACAGAUUUAUUGAAAACUUCAUUAUUGACUGCAGUGUUCUGCCAUUAGUUCUUCAAAAUUGCACGUAGUUCAGACCCUAUUCAUUGCUUCAUACCAUUACAGCAUGUAUGUGGGUGUAUUUCUCAAUCUGGGUCUAAGAAUACCAGGAACCAUUUGCUUAUUGCUUAAGAUAAUAUUCAAAUAUGAAGGUUUUUUUGUAUAGCAUUUGCAAUUGUUUUUCUCAGAAAUGUUCACUAACAGUUUUCAUCCUUUCACCUGAAAUUAUUUAUGGGCUGCUAUCCAGCUAUCCAGAGGUCCUUUUACCUCCAAAAAUACCCUGCUUGUGCCAUUUAUCAGUUGAAUGGUUGAUGUCUCCAGUGACCAUAGUGUCAGGCAUAUAGUUUCUUCAGUGACUUUGACUUAAAACCAUUCCAUACAUCUUCAUGUCUGAUAUAACUCAGCAUAGGAGUAAAAUUAGAAAAAUACAUUAAUAGUGAUGCGUAUUUGGAUAUUGAGAGUAGAAAGAAAUAAUGGAAGAAAUGUAACGCCUUCUGCAUUAUGAAACAUGUUUGUUGCUCAUAAGUCAUUGAAUUUGUGUUGAGAUUUCAAUCUUUCCUAAUCACAGGAAGGAGUGGGCUCUCCAAGUCCAAGACAGAACAAUGAUGCUCCUUUUAGCUCAAACUUUUACCAAAUAUCAUAUAAAAUAAUAGCUGUAUAGCAGUCUCAAUUCACAUUUUAAGGAUUCCUGUCUUAGAAUGAAACAUCUCUUGGAAUAUAUAGAAAAUACAAUUGUUAUUAUUAUUAUUAAAUCAAGAUUUAAAUCUCUAUUAAGUCAUGCUUGAUCAGCCUGAUAAGCUUCUAUGAUGACAUGACCAGCCUAAUGUAUGAGAGGAAACCAAUGGUUGUUGUCUUCCUAAAUGGUAAAUCCUAAAGUCUUC
rnacentral:lncRNA from 1 species